rnacentral:lncRNA from 1 species
CCUCUACCUUCUUCUUGUGGUCUUCAUCCUCAGACUUGUACUUCUCUGCUUCUUGAACCAUCUUCUCAAUCUCCUCCUUGGAGAGCCUGCCCUUGUCGUUGGUGAUGGUGAUCUUGUUCUUUUGUCCAGUAGUCUUGUCCUCAGCAGAAACAUUCAAGAUACCAUUGGCAUCAAUGUCAAAGCACACUGUGAUCUGAGGAACUCCCCUGGGAGCAGGAGGAAUACCAGAGAGCUCAAAUUUGCCAAGCAAGUUGUUGUCCCUGGUCCUAGUUCUCUCACCUUCAUAGACCUGGAUCAACACACCUGGCUGAUUGUCUGAGUAGGUUGAGAAGACCUGUUCUUUCUUGGUUGGGAUAGUG